AUGGAGAAGAGACAAGCAAGAAAGGCACAAAGGAGAGAGAGAGAGAGACCUGAAACAUAAAGGCAAAACAGACACACAGAUGAAGAAAAACAGGGGUACAGACAAAGAAAUGGAAGACAGGGACAAAGAGAAGUAGUGAAAGAUAAUAAGAGACAAGAUGGAUGGACAACACCAACUUCUGCCAGUGAGCCCUUGCUGAAUAAGUUUGGGUUCCAUACCUCUGCACACCACCUUUCUGUGAAGACUUUGGAGAAGCCAGCAACAAG